GGGUAUCCAUAUUUGUAGGUGAGUCAUAAUAUUUUCCUGCCUUUUCUCUCUCUUUGCUUCCAUGUAUAUUAUCUGCCAGGCCGUUUUCUGUUUACAUAUAUGUCAUUUAUUAUUAGAUUCAUGCGAUCCAGGAAACACAGUAAAGAUAUUAUCAUAGUGGUGCAGGCACAGAGGUAUCCACCAGUCUAAAACGAUAAGGAUUUAUUUAGUUGUUUAACAUAUUGUCAUAUUCAUAUAAUUUCCAACUAUUAGUAUGCAAAAGAAAUGGAAAUCCUUACUGACUUCCUUUUUCCAUGUGUAGAUUAUAAUUUAUCAGCCUAUGAUAACAAAGCAGAUGUCUGCGGUUGUUGUUGUCAGGCAGGUUGGUUCUUACGAUCCCAUGUACUCUGAAACUGUGCACAUGUAUGAAUGUUUCCUUCUCUGUUCCUUUUUGGUUCAGGUUUCUUUAUGGUUCUUCUAUUAUUGCAUUGUCACCUACCAUGCAAACUAAGUUCUGCCUGCGUGCUUGAUUAUGUAACGUAUAUGUAAUAUCUUCAAUGAUUGAUAUUUCUCCAUAAAUCUUAGUAGCGUUCUGAUGUGAUGCUCUAGAUACUCCUAUGGCUGCAAGCUACUGUACCUACUGCCUUUGUAAUGAGUGUCAGGUGCCUCUGCCUGUGAUGCUAAUUUUGUAGAUGUCAAACAUUACUGUGCUUUGAAGAUUGGCUUCUCUUUCUACAUUCCUUCACUGUUGCUCUGGUCUUCUCUAUUGCAUUCCACUGUGAUGUUAUCCUCUAUUUCUUUAGGCAUCACGCACCGCCAUCAAUUUGUUGCUUGUCGGUUGGGAAUCAAACCACAAAAGGCCUCAUACUUUUGCUUACUAUACUCAAUCUGCUUACUUAUUUUAAUUCUAAAACAAGUUGUAGUGUUGUUUACUACAUUGUACUUCUUUAGGGGCUUGGAUCAAUGGUUUGCUAUGUAAUAUAGUUAAGCUACUUCCAAACACGAUUUCUGAUACUUUUUCAGUGGGUUCUGCCAUUCUGUUUUCCUUUUAUGUUUUUAGGCAAAGCUUUUUAUUAGGAGAUGAUAGGAUUCGUAUACAUAGGUGCAUGUUCCAUUUUUAUAGCUACUCGAAAUUCAGAUUAUUAACCUCGGUAUGUAAAAACAUAUUUAUUUUUAGCUUAAAUGUUUGAUAGAAUAUAUAUGUUGUAUAUGAACAUAAAUGUAUAUGAACAUGAAACACCACUUCAAGUUUCCGUGUGCUGAUAGUCUAACAGUACAUACUUCUGAGCUGUGAUGAUUUGAUUGACCCCACCAAUUAGUGCUAAAGUUAAGUGUACUUUCCUUUUGUCAUUCAUCUUAAUGCCAGUGUACAGGUAUUUGUAUGAGCUUCUCAUGUGUUUGUAUGACCUUUGCAUAUUUUAAAUUUUGAAUAAUGUCAUCCCAGCUGCCUGAAAAUGUAGGUUACUUCUAUGCUUUUCACGUUUUCUAAACGUAGCAGCGUUGAUCCCACGGUUAAUGUGAUUAAAUCUAUUUUCUGUUUUACUGCAAUAUAUUCUUACUGUUUUACAGAUUUUUAGACUCCUAUUAUCUUUUUAGCUUCUCACUUAUUCAUAUAGUGUAGGAUUAAAUUGAUCUAACAAAUGUGGAAACAAGCGAGUGACCAUAACCCUAUAUGACACAACAGCUGUUGGUAUGUGACGAAAUGGAUUAUGAUUUGUGAAUACUAACUUCUCUUAGAUAUCAUUGCUUUCCAUUUACAUACCUGUUGGUCAUAUAUUUUUUUAAAAACCCAUCAUUACUCCUGUCCAUCACAUACCUACUGGUCAUAUAGUUUUUGUAGACUCAACAUUGAAUUGAAUUAAUCUUUCUUGUUUCCACUGGUGGGGAGGUUCAUGAUAAAUCUGAUGGCUUUUGAUUUAAUAAGUUGAUGCUCAUAGCCUGAUGGCUUUUCAUUUAUUAACCUGUUGAUAUAUUUAUAAAGUUUACUUAGGCUAUGCAUGAAACUAAGUACCCUUCCGAUGAUGAUUAAGAAGUCAGAACAACAAUUCUGGUGCUCUAAUUAGUUUUAACUAAUACUCAUUUUGUAUCUCAGAGUACAGGUCCUUUGUGCUCAUUGGACAACAAGCAUUGCAUAAUACAACAUGUUGUGAGCCUAGAAAGGUUUGAAUGUUAUCCAACAGGAUGUGUUGACGCUCAUCAUUGUGGAGUACCUACAUUAUUAUGCAUCCGCAAUUUUUUCCCCACUGCAGCCAUUUUGUUGUAGCGUGUACAUGGCUUCGCUGACUUUCUGUUCUUUGGACCUCAAUGUUUAGUGCUUUAAUUUCUGCUCCACUUUCUGUGGACUGUACUUAGACUUCAGGAAAAGGCAAUUGGUAGAGACUGCAUGUUUAUAUAUCUCUUAUUGCUUCUCUAUUUCACAUUUUAGGUUCCAUGCCUCUGGUCAGUGUAAUGCCAAAUUUAUUUUCUUUGCAAGUUCCAUGCUAUUACACAAAUUACUUCUUAAAGUCAUCUGGGGGCUUACAAUUACUCUACUCAUUGCAGUUCACUACAAUCAGUAACUUGUGGUAACAGUGACCAACCAAUGCUUUGAUUUUGUGGUUCCAAUUACAACUAAUCCUCUACUGGCUACCAGCGCUAACCAUAGCCAUACCACCAGACAAAACCACAAAAGGUGAUGAGGCUUCAGUUCAAGACAUGUUUGAUCCUGAAUUAACACAUAUAACACAUUCCUAUGAUGCCCUUUGCCUUUUACACUGCUACAUGUAUGUAGGUAUAAAUUUGUACAUUAUUUUAGACUGCUUUGCAGUCCAUUAUCUUACAAUCUCUACUUUCACAGUCACAAUUGUCUUGUGGCGGCGCCUUAUGUUGUCUAUGCGACUUAUAGACCUCAUAUAAAGCCAUUAAACUAAUGGAUGGUAUCUAAUAUUUGGAAUAAUAAACCUUAUAAUAUGCUAAUC